UGGGUUAGUAGUUUUACAAACCAGUUGUGUCAUCAUUUGCUCAAAUCAAGGAAAAAAAAUGGUGCUCACAUAAAAGUUCAGUCAAGACAAGAUGGCCAGAAAAGCACCUUAGACAAAAGUACGAUUUAUUAUGUAAAUUUAAAACAGUGGUAAAAUUUCCAAUGUACAUAGGCAGACAUCCUUAAAAAUGGAGAUUCCUUAAUAGGUGUACAUUUCUUUUACAAAAGGGUUUCAGGUUAGCCAAUCAUAUUCCAGAAAGGUGUAUUUUAGUUAAAUAGGUGUUCCGUUUAACUUAGCUACUGUUUCUUGGCUAAAAUUACUGGGUUCACAGUGGACUCCAUUAAGGAAUAGGGCAGAGAAAGCAUCCUUUAUGCCUGGACUCAGCAGGGAGAGAUCUGAAAAAGAAGCCUUUCCUUUUAUAAACGCUUUAGGCUAGCUUUCUUUCUGCUAUUAGGGCAGGAUGAUGACAAAACUAAAAGGUCAGCAGAUUCAAUUUUUCUUAUCAAUCAGUCACUUAAGCUUUUUAUUUGCCUUUUAUAAAAAGCCUUUUAAAAUAUUAAAGUCUCUUUAGAACUUCUGCAUAUCACUAGGCAUCCCUAGAUGAGACUAAUUUGAAAGCCCUCAUUUUCAAAUGCACUUCUUCAAGUGCAGAGUUGUUCGUUUGGAUCAUUCUACUGUAACUUAUCUUUAGUAAAAUUUCAUAAUUUCUGUAAGUCUUUGUUGCUUCCAGGGCCUAAUACUUACCCAUCGAUAAACCAGAAGGUACUGAGUUCUUCAGAAAUUAAGGAUCUCAUUUUUACCUCAAAUAUUGGCUUUGGCUCUCAGGCCCCCUUGAUCAACUUAGCCAGUGAUUUUUCGUUCCCAAAGCAUGCAAGAAGAAAGAAACAAAGGAGGUAGAACACAAAAAUCCCUGUCAAUUUCCCAAAGCCAAAGUUUACACCUCCUACAGCAUUGCCUUUUACUACUGGUUUCUUUCUGACCCAGUUAGAGGUCUCUUAUAAACCUCUAACUAGAUCCAAGCCAGUUAAUUAUUGAAUCCAAUCCAAUUCUGAAUCCAGUUCAGUUUCUGUCAUGCCUUCCAAACACAGUUUGGAUCAUAAAUUAGCUCAAAGAAACUUGAAGAGCUCAGAACACAAAUCCAUGGAGCUUUGGAAUCCUGGAGAGAACUUACCAGGAUCCCCAGUCACUGCCAGAGAACAAUGAACACAAUGGGCCUGGCGGGAACCUUGCUUGGCCACUUGGUGCUCCUGGAGGUCACCAAAAGCUCUACUUUGGAUCUCACUUCUGACAUCAUCUGUUAAAAGGGAAACCUUAGCCAAAUUAAAUUUUAUAGAGUUUAAUUGACCAAAGAAUUAUUCAUGAAUCAGGCAGCCUUCCAAGUAGGCUCAGAGACUCCAGUGAAGCCAAGAGAUAGAAGAUGAUUGAAGGACAGAAAAAGGAAAAUGAUAUAUAGAAAACGGAAAUGAGGUACAGAAACAGCGGGACUGGUAUAGCUUGGCAUUUGCCUUAUUUGAACACUGUCUGAACAGUUGGCCUUCUUUGGUUGGCCAAAACUCAGUGAUUGGCACAAAAGUGGACUAUAGUCUAUCUACACCUCCAUUUAGGUUAUAAUUUGUCAUGUACAGAUAAACCUUUAGGCUGAACUUAAAAUAUGUAAGGAAGUGGCUUUAGGCUAAACUUGAUUUACCAAUGCCCUGCCUGGGUAUCCUUUACCAAGAUAUACAAGAGAAUAUUGUACUUUCUGAAUGGGGAACUCUACUAGCCACCAUCUUGAGUGUCCACACUUAGUAGCAUUAUUGAUAGUGCGGCAACUUUUACACUGAACUCAGUUAAGCCCCAACACCUAAUUUUCAGUUUACGAGAGAAGGGGAGGUUGGGAGGGCAUAUAGGAACAAGUUAAAUAACCUCAUUAAAGAAAGGUCAGUCAAGUCAGAAUGUGAAACAUUUUACAAGAAAACUGAUGUGGACUUUUAAAGAAGUCAAUGCCAUUAAAAACUUGUUUUUUGUUUUUUGUUUUUUUAAGAAAAGCAAGGCAACUAUUCUAGACUAACAGAGACCAAAAGGCCUAAUAGCCAAAUGCUUUGUGUGAACACAGACUAGAUCCUGCUUUAAGAAAAAGCUAUAAAAGACAUUCUUAGGAUAACUGAAGAAAUUUAAAUAAGAAUGGGAUAGUAGAUAUAUGGAAUUAUUGUUAAUUUUAUUGGAUGUGACAAUGACAUUGUAUCUUGUAGGAGCUGAUCUUUAUUCUCAGAAGAUGCAGACUUAAGUAUUUAAGAGCAAAGCACCAUGAUGUCCGCAAUUUACAACCAAAUUGUAAAGCAUAGAUAGAUAGAGAAUAAAUAUGACAAUACUUUGACAAUUUUAUUGAGGUAGGCGAUACACAGAUAUACAGGGAUUUGAUGUAUUCUUUUAACUUUUCUGUUGGUUUGAAAUUUUUCAUAAUAAAAUGUUAGGAAAUGUAUUUAAAAUGGAAUUUGUCUGUAAAAAAGAAUAAGAAUCAAAUGCUGUAAAAUAUUUGAAUAUAUUUAUUCUGAGCCAAAUCUGAGUGACCAUGGCCCAUGAGGCAGCCCUCAGGAGACCCUGAGAACAUGUGCCCAUGGGGGUUGGGCCACAACUAGUUUUUAUACAUUUUAGGGGGAUAUAAGACAUCAAUCUAUACAUGUAUGAUGUACAUUGGUUCUGUGUGGAAAGGUGGGACAACUGGAAGUGGGCAGGAGGUUUAAGGUUAUAGGCAGAUUCAAAUAUUAUCUGAUUGACAACUGGUUGAAAGAGUUUAUCCAAAGACCUGGAAUCAAUAGAAAGGUAUUGUGGAGAACAAGUUUCUUAUUAUGCAGAUGAGGCCUCCAAGUAGCAGGCUUCAGAGAAAAUAGAUUGUACAUGUUUCUUACAGAUUUAAAAAGAUGUCAGACUCUUAGUUGAUUGUCUCCUAGAUCAGGAAAAAGGCCCAGAGAAGGGAAAGGGGAUUCUGUACAGAAUGUAGAUUUUUCCCCACAAGAGGCAACUUUGCAGGGCAAUUUCAAGAUAUGGCAAAUAAACAUAUUUGGGGUUAAAAUAUUUUUAUUUCCUUCUUUAUCUGUCAUGUGAUGUUAUGCCAGAGUCGGGUUGGAAAGUAAGCCGUGUUAUAGGGGGUUAACUAAAUCCCCUCGGAUGAGGCUUUAUUGUUUGUGGGGCAUGACUCCCCAAGCCCCUUAGAUAGGAAUUUGGGCAAGACAAGGAAAAAUGUCUGCGUUUAUCCUCAAAUUACUCUAUAUACAUACUGUUAUGCCACCUGAUUUUUUUAAACUUAUCAACAUGUGGAGUGUGUGUUUCCAUGUCAGUGCAUACCUUGUCCUCUUUAUCCAUUGUACAAACGUCAACAGGAGGGUUUGAAUUUCAAAAUCCCUACUGGAGAUUUCUAAUUGUUUCUCUGCAACAAACUGUUUUGCCCUAAGGUAAAUAAAGAAAGAGAAAGGGAGGGCCAAAGAUUCUUUAAAAGGUUGAUUAUUCUUUCACCUAGUUGCAUUUAAAAGAACAAAAUGAAGAAAAUAAGGAGGAGGAAAGAAAAGACUUUCCACCCCACCCACUGCCGCCCCCACAGACAAUGUGGCAUGUCUGAGCAUCCUUCUUGGGCUGGCCCGAGGUUAAUGAAUAAGUGGUGAAUUUUGAGUUGACAUGAUCAUUGACACUGUGGCCCUCAAGGGGCUUGUGCAAGGCUUCCCGUGUGCACUUUGAUGCCUGUGAUGACAGGAGCCUGGACCGUGAACAGCUGCAGCUUCAGCCUGAACCUAUGCUGAC
rnacentral:lncRNA from 1 species